rnacentral:rRNA from 1 species
GACGAACGCUGGCGGCGUGCUUAACACAUGCAAGUCGAACGGAAAGGCCUCUUUCGGGGGGUACUCGAGUGGCGAACGGGUGAGUAACACGUGAGUAACCUGCCCUUGACUUUGGGAUAACUUCAGGAAACUGGGGCUAAUACCGGAUAGGAGCUCCUGAUGCAUGGUGGGGGUUGGAAAGUUUCGGCGGUUGGGGAUGGACUCGCGGCGUAUCAGCUUGUUGGUGGGGUAGUGGCUUACCAAGGCUUUGACGGGUAGCCGGCCUGAGAGGGUGACCGGCCACAUUGGGACUGAGAUACGGCCCAGACUCCUACGGGAGGCAGCAGUGGGGAAUAUUGCACAAUGGGUGGAAGGCUGAUGCAGCAACGCCGUGUGCGGGAUGACGGCCUUCGGGUUGUAAACCGCUUUCGCUCAUGACGAAGCUUUGUGUGACGGUAGUGGGUAAAGAAGCACCGGCUAACUACGUG